GAUGAAGAACGUAGCAAAAUGCGAUAAGUCAUGUGAAUUGCAGAAUUCAGUGAAUCAUCGAAUCUUUGAACGCACAUUGCGCCCGCUGGUAUUCCGGCGGGCAUGCCUGUUCGAGCGUCAUUUCAACCCUCAAGCCCCCGGGUUUGGUGUUGGGGAUCGGCUCUGCCCUUCUGGGCGGUGCCGCCCCCGAAAUACAUUGGCGGUCUCGCUGCAGCCUCCAUUGCGUAGUAGCUAACACCUCGCAACUGGAACGCGGCGCGGCCAUGCCGUAAAACCCCAACUUCUGAAUGUUGACCUCGGAUCAGGUAGGAAUACCCGCUGAACUUAAGCAUAUCAAUAAGCGGAGGA
rnacentral:misc_RNA from 1 species